GCGUCCGUAGCUCAGUUGGUUAGAGCACCACCUUGACAUGGUGGGGGUCGGUGGUUCGGAGUCCACUCGGACGCACCA
rnacentral:tRNA from 1 species